rnacentral:rRNA from 1 species
GGGGAAUAUUGGACAAUGGGGGCAACCCUGAUCCAGCAAUGCCGCGUGUGUAAAGAAGGCCUUCGGGUUGUAAAGCACUUUUAUCGGGAACGAAACAUUGUCGGCCAAUACCCGGCAAGACUGACGGUACCCGAGGAAUAAGCACCGGCUAACUCCGUGCCAGCAGCCGCGGUAAUACGGAGGGUGCAAGCGUUAAUCGGAAUUACUGGGCGUAAAGCGUGCGCAGGCGGUUUGUUAAGUCUGCUGUGAAAUCCCCGAGCUCAACUUGGGAAUUGCAGUGGAUACUGGCAAGCUGGAGUACGGUAGAGGAAGGUGGAAUUCCCGGUGUAGCAGUGAAAUGCGUAGAGAUCGGGAGGAACACCAGUGGCGAAGGCGGCCUUCUGGACCAGUACUGACGCUCAUGCACGAAAGCGUGGGGAGCAAACA